rnacentral:rRNA from 1 species
UACGUAGGGUGCAAGCGUUGUCCGGAAUUAUUGGGCGUAAAGAGCGUGUAGGCGGCCUGACAGGUCUGCUGUGAAAACUCGAGGCUCAACCUCGAGACGCCGAUGGAAACCAUCUGACUAGAGUCCGGAAGAGGAGAGUGGAAUUCCUGGUGUAGCGGUGAAAUGCGCAGAUAUCAGGAAGAACACCCGUGGCUAAGGCGGCUCUCUAGUACGGUACUGACGCUGAGACGCGAAAGCGUGGGGAGCGAACAGG